UACGUAGGGCGCAAGCGUUGUCCGGAUUUAUUGGGCGUAAAGAGCUCGUAGGCGGCUUGUCGCGUCGAUUGUGAAAGCCCGGGGCUUAACUCCGGGUCUGCAGUCGAUACGGGCAGGCUAGAGUGUGGUAGGGGAGAUCGGAAUUCCUGGUGUAGCGGUGAAAUGCGCAGAUAUCAGGAGGAACACCGGUGGCGAAGGCGGAGCUCUGGGCCAUUACUGACGCUGAGGAGCGAAAGCGUGGGGAGCGAACAGG
rnacentral:rRNA from 1 species